UACAGAGGGUGCGAGCGUUGUCCGGAAUCACUGGGCGUAAAGGGCGCGUAGGUGGCGCGACAAGUCAGUGGUGAAAGCUCGACGCUCAACGUCGAGUCGGCCACUGAGACUGUCGGGCUGGAGCACUGUAGAGGCUCAUGGAAUUCCGGGUGUAGCGGUGGAAUGCGUAGAGAUCCGGAAGAACACCGGUGGCGAAGGCGGUGAGCUGGGCAGUUGCUGACACUGAGGCGCGACAGCGUGGGGAGCAAACAGG
rnacentral:rRNA from 1 species